CCUCUUAUUAUUUCAUCAUCCUCCCUUAAUUGCAAGGGAUGCUGGGAAAUGUAGUUCUUAAGAUGGACACAUUGAGUUCCUAAAGCUGCCAACCUCCUUCUCUUCAAGGCCAGCUGGGCACGUUCAGUUUCCCACAGAAAGGCAUCAAAAAGGGGAAUCAGAACACACCUCUUCCACCUUCCUUCCCUACUUGCUGGAACACUCACCUCCUGUUCCUGUACAAGAUGACUUUGGAAGUGGGAUCUUAGUUCCCGGACCAAGGAUCGAACCCAUGCCUCCUGCAGUGGAAGCAAGGAGUCUUAGC